rnacentral:ncRNA from 1 species
UAACUCAGGAGAGUCUCUUCAAAAAAAUUUAUGGAAGAGCGCCGAAGGUGUACGCAGCAUUUGUAAUGCUGUUAAUCUCUCAGGCAAAAGGAUGGAGGAAA